CAGUACCGUGAGGGAAAGGCGAAAAGAACCCCGGCGAGGGGAGUGAAAAAGAACCUGAAACCGUGUACGUACAAGCAGUGGGAGCCUCUUUAUGGGGUGACUGCGUACCUUUUGUAUAAUGGGUCAGCGACUUAUAUUCUGUAGCAAGGUUAACCGAAUAGGGGAGCCGAAGGGAAACCGAGUCUUAACUGGGCGUUAAGUUGCAGGGUAUAGACCCGAAACCCGGUGAUCUAGCCAUGGGCAGGUUGAAGGUUGGGUAACACUAACUGGAGGACCGAACCGACUAAUGUUGAAAAAUUAGCGGAUGACUUGUGGCUGGGGGUGAAAGGCCAAUCAAACCGGGAGAUAGCUGGUUCUCCCCGAAAGCUAUUUAGGUAGCGCCUCGUGAAUUCAUCUCCGGGGGUAGAGCACUGUUUCGGCAAGGGGGUCAUCCCGACUUACCAACCCGAUGCAAACUGCGAAUACCGGAGAAUGUUAUCACGGGAGACACACGGCGGGUGCUAACGUCCGUCGUGAAGAGGGAAACAACCCAGACCGCCAGCUAAGGUCCCAAAGUCAUGGUUAAGUGGGAAACGAUGUGGGAAGGCCCAGACAGCCAGGAUGUUGGCUUAGAAGCAGCCAUCAUUUAAAGAAAGCGUAAUAGCUCACUGGUCGAGUCGGCCUGCGCGGAAGAUGUAACGGGGCUAAACCAUGCACCGAAGCUGCGGCAGCGACACUAUGUGUUGUUGGGUAGGGGAGCGUUCUGUAAGCCUGUGAAGGUGUACUGUGAGGUAUGCUGGAGGUAUCAGAAGUGCGAAUGCUGACAUAAGUAACGAUAAAGCGGGUGAAAAGCCCGCUCGCCGGAAGACCAAGGGUUCCUGUCCAACGUUAAUCGGGGCAGGGUGAGUCGACCCCUAAGGCGAGGCCGAAAGGCGUAGUCGAUGGGAAACAGGUUAAUAUUCCUGUACUUGGUGUUACUGCGAAGGGGGGACGGAGAAGGCUAUGUUGGCCGGGCGACGGUUGUCCCGGUUUAAGCGUGUAGGCUGGUUUUCCAGGCAAAUCCGGAAAAUCAAGGCUGAGGCGUGAUGACGAGGCACUACGGUGCUGAAGCAACAAAUGCCCUGCUUCCAGGAAAAGCCUCUAAGCAUCAGGUAACAUCAAAUCGUACCCCAAACCGACACAGGUGGUCAGGUAGAGAAUACCAAGGCGCUUGAGAGAACUCGGGUGAAGGAACUAGGCAAAAUGGUGCCGUAACUUCGGGAGAAGGCACGCUGAUAUGUAGGUGAAGCGACUUGCUCGUGGAGCUGAAAUCAGUCGAAGAUACCAGCUGGCUGCAACUGUUUAUUAAAAACACAGCACUGUGCAAACACGAAAGUGGACGUAUACGGUGUGACGCCUGCCCGGUGCCGGAAGGUUAAUUGAUGGGGUUAGCGAUAACGCGAAGCUCUUGAUCGAAGCCCCGGUAAACGGCGGCCGUAACUAUAACGGUCCUAAGGUAGCGAAAUUCCUUGUCGGGUAAGUUCCGACCUGCACGAAUGGCGUAAUGAUGGCCAGGCUGUCUCCACCCGAGACUCAGUGAAAUUGAACUCGCUGUGAAGAUGCAGUGUACCCGCGGCAAGACGGAAAGACCCCGUGAACCUUUACUAUAGCUUGACACUGAACAUUGAGCCUUGAUGUGUAGGAUAGGUGGGAGGCUUUGAAGUGUGGACGCCAGUCUGCAUGGAGCCGACCUUGAAAUACCACCCUUUAAUGUUUGAUGUUCUAACGUUGGCCCCUGAUCGGGGUUGCGGACAGUGUCUGGUGGGUAGUUUGACUGGGGCGGUCUCCUCCUAAAGAGUAACGGAGGAGCACGAAGGUUGGCUAAUCCUGGUCGGACAUCAGGAGGUUAGUGCAAUGGCAUAAGCCAGCUUGACUGCGAGCGUGACGGCGCGAGCAGGUGCGAAAGCAGGUCAUAGUGAUCCGGUGGUUCUGAAUGGAAGGGCCAUCGCUCAACGGAUAAAAGGUACUCCGG
rnacentral:rRNA from 1 species